rnacentral:snRNA from 1 species
GUUCCUUCGGAGACAUCCGAUAAAAUUGGGACAAUAUAAAAAAUAUUAGCAAAGUCCUUGCGGAAGAAUAACACGCAUAAAUCGAAAAACAGCCUAAAAAUAUUUUU